ACGAAUCAAGAACUCUUUCCUGAUUAAACUUGGAGAUGAGAAGAUUCAACAACAGGCAGUUGAGGCGUUAUGUGACAACAACCAGAGAAUACACACCCUUUUUAUUGAAGCUGGGUCAAAAAUGGAUGACCUGAAAGACGUCCUGCCAAGACUGGCUGAAGUACUGACACUGAAAGCUGUACACUUUAUUGAAUUUGAGCUUAUGAAUCUAUUCAAAAGCUACCCUGACUUCAGUGAAGCUCAUGUCUGCGCCUGGCUGCAUCUUAUGGCAAACCUCCCUACCUCAGAGCUCAGAAUGAUCAGGAAGUCUUUCUCAGAGUUACGGGAGCUAAGCGCAUCAAAAGAAACCGAUUAUCAGGAGCAGGAUCC